GGGCCAUAGCUCAGUGGUAGAACAUCUGCUUUCAGUGCAGAAGGUCCCAGGUUCGGUCCUCAGCAUCUCCA